UACGUAGGGUGCAAGCGUUGUCCGGAAUUAUUGGGCGUAAAGAGCUCGUAGGCGGUUCGUCGCGUCGGCUGUGAAAUCCCGAGGCUCAACCUCGGGUCUGCAGUCGAUACGGGCGGACUGGAGUUCGGCAGGGGAGACUGGAAUUCCGUGGUGAGCGGUGAAAUGCGCAGAUAUCAGGAGGAACACCGGUGGCGAAGGCGGGUCUCUGGGCCGAUACUGACGCUGAGGAGCGAAAGCGUGGGGAGCGAACAGG
rnacentral:rRNA from 1 species